AAAUGUGAAACGAUUUGGCAAUGUUCUGAGGACGACUUUCAUUUCAUGAGCUACAAAACCACUCUGGAUGUCAUGAGGACUUUGAGAAGCUCUUGCAGUUCUUGAAGAGGGGCCAGGAAAGCAGAGGCCAGCUGCAGCUGAGCAAAGUAGAAUGAUGUUCAGCCUCAGAACGUAGCCACCUUGCUGUGAGAAAGCCCAACCAUCUUGUACAGCGAGACCACAUGGAGAGGCGCAUGUGGAAAGGAACGGAGGCUACAAGCCGAUAGCCAGCAUCGACUGCCAGGCACGGAGAGUGAGUCUUCAGAUGAAUCCAGCCUCAGCCUAGAGUCUUUUGUCUCAGGCCCCAGACACUGUGGAGCAGGGACAAGCCAUCCCCACUGUGUCCCACCCGCAUUCCUGAUCCACAGAAUCUAUGAGCACAAUAAAUAGUUG
rnacentral:lncRNA from 10 species